rnacentral:misc_RNA from 1 species
GCAAUCAGUUUCCAUGUAGCAGUGUCCCAAAGCUUGACUGAUGCACUACCUCCGCCAGCAACUGCAAGAGUGGUACCCUUGGGAUCAAACCGCAUUUGCCACACUUCCGACGGUGGAGCUUCGAGAGUCGCAAUGCUAGCAUUAGUAUCGACAUCGAAGACUCGAACGAAGCUAUCAAGCGACGCAGACGCAGCGAUGACGCCUGAGGGAUGUGCAGCCACGGCGACGACACCGAGGCAGUGUCCGGUGUUGGUGCGCUCAAGGUUAAGCUCGUCGGGCUUCCAAAGCUUGACAGUCUCGUCAAGCGAUCCGGUGAGAAGAAGCGCUGGUCGGGUGGUGGUGGCAGGGACCCACGUCGCAGCCCAUACAGACUCGUCGUGCGCGUUCUCUACGGAUUUUAGGCCUGCAAGUUUCAUUGAUUUGGUGGGGGAAUUAGGAACCGCUGCUGACAAGAACCCUAGAAGGCUACAACGUUUUUUGGGGAAUUUAAAUUAUUGUGUUUGCCUGUUGAGUUGUGACGAC